GCUGCCUGUGUGUGAUUACAUUUUAAUCUCAUCUAUCUUCAGAAUCAUGUAUUUUGUGUUAUACUUGAUAGUAUUGAUAAAGACUGGGGGAGGGGGAUAGAGAGAUUUAGAAUGAGAAAAAAAUAGUUUAAGGUUUGGAAUCUGAUCACACAAAACCAGUAAAAAGCACAAAAGCUUUUUAGUUCAGCAAUUAAAAUUAUAUUUGGUGAUGCAUUUCUUACAUACAGAAUGAAAGUUUGUCAACACUCUGGCUGUUAAAUGUAUUAAGUGUUAGUAAAUUAUGAACAGUAAAACAGCCUGGUCAACUAUUGUUUUGAUAGUUGGAGUUUGAACCCUGCCUGCCACAAUCCACUGGUAUCCUACAGGAGGUUUGGACUAUGUGGUACUGGCAUUAAUUUUCAUGGAGCAUCUGAAAACAAAGUCAAGGCUGCCUAUCUUUAUAUGAUAUACAUUCUAAUCAAAGAAAAAAUCACUCUAUAACCAUCACAAGUCUGGUUAUAUAAAUAUAAUGAAUAAUUUAAUUUAUUUCUGAAACAUAUGACAAGGACAUAGCAAGGAAACACUUCUAGUUAAUACAUGUAUACUGUUAACAUUAUUCAUACAUGUAACGUUAGAAACAAUAUAGUGUGGAACAUUAACAGGGCUGAAAUUGUGUUGAGGUUGUUUUCAUUGUUUUUCUUUUACCAUACCUGUACAAUAAAAAUUCUGCUAAUUGACUAAAACACAGGAAGUCAAAAUAGUGUUGCAUUAAGUAGAUAUUAAACAUUUUCCAUUCGAUCAAACUAAAUAGUAGCGCAUUUGUUCUUAUUUGUGAUGCUAAUAUAAUUUGAGGAAACAAAGCAUAUUUGUGGGCAAAUAAUGUUUAACUCUAAAAAUGUUCACUUUUUUUUUAACAAAGAAAUUGCAAUGUAAAUUUUUUUUAAAAUCUAAUAACAGGAGUGGCAAGCAGCAAAUAUUAAAAUAUGAGCAAAUCAUGUAUAUUCAUUUUUGUAUCACAGAAAGGAAAUAAUAAGUAAUGCAGGCUUUUAGAAAAUAUUCAGCAUGAUUAUAUUAAAAAUUAGAAAAACUUUAAUUUCCAAUUCAAGCAAAAUAAUGUAAAUGUUAUUUUAUGGAUUUAUACUGUCAAUUUUAAAUAUUUUCUUAUACAUUUAUUUCUAAGAAAUAAUAUCCAAAUGUUUUCAAUCAGAUAUUUUAAACUUUAUACAUUUACUAUUCUCAGAAACAGUCGUUACCAUCUAGGCAAAACUGCUCAACUUUUAACCUAGUUUCUUUAUAUUUCUGUUCACCAUUUUAUGAGUUACUUCAAAAAAAAAAAAAUUCCUACAAAACUCGAUAUUCAUAACUUUUCACACAAAUGUGACUGACUAGAAUUGUUAGGACAAAAUAUUUAUCUAUUUCCAUCAUUUAAAAAAACAAAACAUUUCAAACAUUGAAAGAAAAAUAAGACAGAGAUUUACUUUUAAGACUAUUUUUCAAGAGAUUAUCAGAAAUUAAGUCAGAAUUUUUAAUACAUAUUGCUCAUUAGCUCAUUGUAGCUGCAAAAAAAAGCAAUUUAAAUAAUGCAAUUUUAUUGUGACUUUGAGUAACAAUCACAGUUUGAAGAGAAAAAUACCCAAGUGUGCCUCGUACUGCACCAUGUUAUAUUGCUAUUGUAAAACUAGAAUAACUGUAUGAUAUCUAAAAACAAUACUGGCAGCUUUAUACAAUUAUAUUUUUAAUAAGCACAUACAUUGGUAACAGUUUUUUUUUUACUAUUAUAACACAGGGGUCAACAAAGGGGGAUAAUUCAAUUAAUAUUAAAGGUGUUCUAGGCUCCAAUACUUUCCUUACUAGAUAGGAUUACAACCAGUGCCCUUUCUCUAAACAUACAACCAGUGGCCAUCCAUUGAUGUCUUAUUAGUAGCUCUGGCAUUCCAGGCGAUGAACAUUAUCCUCUUUAGUUCAAAGUGAAUCUAAUUUUGAUUUGAGGAUAGAUAAAACAAA